rnacentral:lncRNA from 1 species
CGGGGGCAGCCGCCAGCGGAAACGGUUAUUGGCCGCCAGUUCUCAGGUUCUGUGAGACCAGAGCCUCAGUCUCCCGUGAGCAGAGGGUGUGUGUGUGGCUGCCACUAUUCUGCAGACACGCUGGCUCCACCCCAGAGAGUUGCAGGGCCAGGAAAUCUGCAUUUAAACAGACCCUGGCUCUCACACUUCGGAAACUGCCCGAAGCACCUCUCAAAUAUGGGACAGGUGCUUAGGCCGAAAAUCAGGAAUCUCUUGAAUGAAUGCAUGAAGGUGGAGCCCUUUCCCUUAAUGCGCAGGUGAAAAGGGCACCUCGGUGGAUUCUACUAAAUUUAAUAGAAGACUUGAUGGAUUACAGAGGACUCCUGCUCCAGCUGUGGGGAACUCCAGCCCGCACUUUGCCUCCAGCCCGAUGGUGCAAGAUCCAGCUUCUCUUCAGCCUGGCAUCAAACGUCUUUUUGAUCAGCUUUUCAUCCAUUUUCUGAAAAUGUAGUGAUUGAGAGAUGUUCUGAAUCUUGCAGAAUUCUGUGUCGCACCCUGGCCACACAUCAAUGCAGGCCUGAACCUGACCCUGGGUGGACUCCCUGCUCUCUGCCAGCCCCUUUCUCACCCCUGGGUCCCCACGGCCCCUGGCUCUCUCCCCUCUGCUAGAAUCUCGCUGAGGGAUUGGUGGGGAGGGGGUGGUCACGCACUGGGUGGAGAUCUGGUGCCCCCUGGAGGCCGGACAGGAAGGGCCAGGGCGGACAAGGUCUUUGAGAACUCGGUGGCAUCCCGCUCCUGAUGGCCUGGGUCCCACCGCCCCUCCCCCAGCCUUCCUGACAGCAGAGGAGAUUGAUGGGGCGCUGCUCGAAUGUUCUUCAUCAGCGUCUUCAGUAAUAAGCUUCUCCAUUGGGUAACCGAUCCUAGUUUAGCAAAACCGUUUGUCAACCAUUUCCUCCCUUGAGCUUGAUAAGAACCCCGUGGGAGAGGAGAGAGGGGGGCCCCCCAGGAUCUGAAAAGCUGUGCCUCAGCCAAGUUCAUGAGUCACUGGCGAGGAGGCCUGUAGGUCAGCAAAGCCUAGGAGGUCAAGAGUGCCCACAUGGGGACCUACGGGCCUCAGGGCCGCAGGUUGCUGGGUUGGACCCUGGCUUGGAGCUCAGGAUAGAAACCCGGAAACCCCACAGGCAAAGAAGGAUGCAGAACAGAACAGGGCAGAACCAAGGACCCAGUGAGGGUGGCUGGCGUCAGAGCAAAUAUCAGAGUUCACAAGGUGAAAUAAUCCAAAAAUCUAUACAGAAAAAGCUAAUCAUUUUCUCCAAUCUCUCCCCCAAAGGUGUCUACUCCUGCAGGCUUACCUGUAACCUUUGUCACUCACUCUUCUGAUUCUGCAAACAUAUAAACCACGGAGCCACAGCCAAGAGAAUCUGGACUUGUUCGUUUUUCCUGAAAUAGGAUAUCUUAAAUAAUCCGUGGCUCAGCACUGCGCCCUUUUUUUUCUUUUCUUUUCUUUUUUUUUUUUUUUUUGAGACGGAGUCUCGCUCUGUUGCCCAGGCUGGAGUGCAAUGUCAUGAUCUUGGCUCACUGCAACCUCUGCCUCCUGGGUUCAAGCAACUCUCCUGCCUCAGCCUCCUGAGGAGCUGGGACUGCAGGUGCAAGACACCACGCCUGGCUAAUUUUUGUUAUUUUUAGUAGAGACAGUGUUUCACUAUGUUGGCCAGGCUGGUCUCGAACUCCUGACCUCAAAUGAUCUGCCUGCCUCGGCCUCCCAAAGUGCUGGGAUUACAGGCACAAGCCACAGCACCCAGCCUCACUGUGCCCUUUUCACUGGCAGGCAUUUUAUUGUCCCUACAGACCCAAGACGGGGUGGGGGAGACGUGCUUUGUGCUCACCUGGCUGGUUCAUGGGCAGGUGGCCUGGAGGACCCAGCCCUGGCAGCUGUGGGGUAGCUCCAGCCUGGGCCGGACAGCUUCUUUCAUCGCAGGCACCACUGCGGACAUUGCUGGGAGGAAGAGGAGGGAGAAGCGACGGGCUUCAUUAGGAACGGAAAUGCCAAGAUUAGUGAAAGAAUGAAAAGAGUCAAAACAGCCUAGAAAAGGCUUCAAUGAUCCUCAAACUGGAUGAUCGAAUCCCGAAUAAUUGGGAAUCAACAGUAAAGGCCAAAGCUUUCGAUGGAUUGGACGAGGCGCGUCCACCCUGGGGAGGGCCAUCAUUUUAUUCAGUCUACUGAUGCAAAUGCUUAUCUCUUCUGGAAACACCUUCACAGACAGACCCAGAAUAUAGUUGAACCAAAUACUGGGCACCUCAUGGCUCCAACAGGUUGACACAAAAAAUGAACCAUUGCAGAAAACGAAGAACAGUCACCAACUCCCACCCAUGCAGCUGGCUCAUUUGCUGGGCUGCCCUCCCCAGCAGGUGGCACAGGAAUCCCUGCCUUGGCAGGGAGGAGGCCUGGGGUGUGUGCAGGUACCCAUGGGAAGUUUCUUUGCCAUGGGGAAAGCCAGAGUCACCCCUUGCUUGAACACAAGAGUUGGAGGUUUCAGUGAGCUGAGAUUACGCUAUUGCACUCCAGCCUGGGCGGCAGAGUGAGACUCUGUCUCUAGAUAAAUAAAUUAAAUAAAUAAAUAAAUAUAAUUUAAUAUAAAUAACUAGAAAUUUUUCAAUACUUGCAUCUCUGUAGGUUACCUCUGGAAGUGCAGGGCUUUGUCUUUUUGGAUUAACUCAGAAAUUAGACCUUCAGAAAACAACAUCAGCUCUGAUUCUCUGCACCCUUGAUGCUGCCGGUGGCGACUGCGGCUUCCUGAUGGAAAUGUAGACCUGAACAUAAGUCGCAGAAAAAUGCAGACUUGAGUUGGAGCUAAGCUGACUCAGGUAUUUUGAGAUCUAUAAUCUGAGUGGGGAGCAGAGAGAUUCCAAGAUAUUUGCAUUCAGUGGCUUUUGCACACAGCAGAACCUGUGCUGAGGGCAUUUCUAGGGUCAUUACUCAUAAUCUGCAGUGUCUCUUUCCAGGGUUCCAGGCGUCUUACCCCAGAGGUGAUUUCCAGAUUUCGAGAAAAACCCAGGAUUUAGGGCUGGCACGGUGGCUCACGCCUGUAAUCCCAGCAUUUUGGGAGGCCGAGGCAGGUGGAUCACUUGAGGUCAGGAGUUUGAGACCAGCCUGGCCAACAUGAUGAAACCCUGUCUCUACUAAAAAUACAAAAAAAUUAGCCGGGUGUGGUGGCAUGCACCUGUAAUCCCAGCUACUCAGGAGGCUGAGGCAGGAGAAUCACUUGAACCUGGGAGGCAGAGGUUGCAGUGAGCCUAGAUCGUGCCAUUGCACUCCAGCCUGGGCAACAAGAGCAAAACUCCAUCUCAAAAAAACAAACAAACAAACAAACAAAACGCAAGAUUUAGAUCCCCUCACUGUAGCGCCCUCAUGGCCUGGUAACUUUAGCAAAGCCUCCCCCUCCUCCCCCUCCUCCUCCUCCUCCUCCUCCUCCCUCCUCCCUCUUCUAGGUACAGAGGAUGAGCAGUGGCUCCCCACACCAUCCCCUGAAGCAGAGGCCCCUCUUCCCUUCAUUCCCCAUUCUGUACAGAUGCUAUGGGAGCUUCAGGCUCCACACUCAGGUCCCCAGUCCCUGAAACAUAAAGCUGAAUAAGACAGAGUCCCUGGGCUGAAGGGGCCACUGUUGGCCAUGGAAGCAGAGUAAACAGAGUGGGGCCGACGUAAAGGUGAGCUGGGGUGCACUGGAGGCACAAAACGGGCAAGGAUGGAGACGUGGGUGACGAGGUAGGGCAGACAGGCAGAGCUCAGACUGGGUCCUAGGCAGGGAGAAGUCACCAUUGUAGAGCAAGGACGAUGUGGUCAGAUCUGGGCUUUAGAAAUCUAGGUGUCUAGCCUAGGCAAUAUAAUGAGACCUCGUCUCCACAAAAAACUUAAAAAAUUAGCCGAGUGUGAUGCCACAUGUCUGUAGCCGCAGCUACUCAGAAAGCUGAGGAUCCCAAGUGGAAGGAUAACUCUAGCUCGGGAGGUCGAGGCUGCAGUGAGCCAUGAUCGUGCCAUUGCACUCCAGCCUGGGCAACAGAGCGAGACCCUGUCUCAAGAAAAAAAAAAAAAAAGUAAAAGAAAAAGAAAGAAGAAAUACAGCUCUGGAGCUGCCUAGGACAGGGUUGGGGACUCUCCUGACUAGCUGCCAGCGAAUGUUUGCUUUCUGUGGCCAGGCCCUGCCUGGCCAGGGUGCACAGGGCUGAGCGAGGCAGAUGGAGCCCCUGCUCUCAGACUGCUUUUCCGAAUGCCAUCUUGACGCUGCUCAAGUUUGGAUUUUGGUUUUCAUGGAAGUCAACUAUGGUUCUGACAUGGCCACCUCUGUCUCAACUGAUGCACGGCCUAGGGAAUCCGGUGAUGCUUCAGCAGGUGGCAGGGCUCAGCUGCACCCGCCCGGGCCCCAGCGCCGCCUGCCACUCCUCCUCCUCCUCCCAGGCUUCGGCUGAGAGCAGGGCCUGGAGCCAGCCUGCUGGGUGGACUCCCAGCUCCACAGUUGGCUAGCUCUGGGGCCCUGGGGAGAUGUCCACCCUCUCUGUGCUUUAAUUUCUUCACCUGUGAGGUGGGGAUGGUAGCACCUCCCUCAUGGGGUGGCUAUGGCUGUGAAAUGAGGUAACGUCUCGGUGUUAGGCAGCUUCCAAAACGGCUCUCCAAGAUCCCCUGCCUCCUGGCCUUCAUAGCCUUGUGGAACCCCUGGCCCUGUGUGUGGGCUGGACUCACUGCCUGCUUCCACCCAAGAGAACAGGGCACAGCUGAUGGGGGUUACUUCUGAGACUAGGUGAUCAAGACUGGGGCUUGCUGGGUCCCUCUGUCUCUGACUCUUUCCUCUGCUCUCUCCUGCUCACUUGCUCACCCUAAUACUAUAUCAAGAGCUGCCCUAGAAAGAGGCCCCGUGGCAAAGAACCAAAGGCACCCAGCAACACGAGUGAGGGUGGAAGUGGCUCUUUCCCCAUUCCAGCCUCGCGGUGACCGCAGCCCUGGCUGACACCUUGCUUGCAGCCUGGUGAGAGACAGCAGCCCGAGGACCCUGCUAAGCUGCACCCAGGCUCCUGACCCAUGGAAACUGUGAGAUGAUAAACAUGUACUGCUUAAGCUGAGAUUCGGGCUAAUUUGUUACACAGUCAUAGACAUCGUUUUUUGUUGUUGUUGUUUUUUGAGAUGGAGUCUCACUCUGUCGCCCAGGCUGGAGUGCAGUGGCACAAUCUCAGCUCACUGCAACAUCCACCUCCCAGGUUCAAGCGAUUCUCGUGCCUCAGCCUCCCAAGUAGCUGGGAUUACAGGCAUCUGCCACCAUGCCCGGCUAAUUUUUUUGUAUCUUUAGGAGAGACAGGGUUUCACCAUGUUGGCCAGCUGGUCUCAAACUCCUGAGCUCAAGAGAUCUGCCCACCUUGGCCUCCCAAAGUGCUGGGAUUACAGGCAUGAGCCACUGUGCCCGGCCUGUUACACAGUCAUAGACAUCUAUAAAAUACUCAACACGGUGCCGGCGCAUGGCAAGCAUCAGUUACUGACCACGGUGACCCUUCUGUGUACACCAGGGGAACUCAAAAUACUCAGGAAAUCUAAGCAUAUAAGCCUAGUCACCAGGCUGUCGACAUGACCCUUAACAAUGAACCUGUGUCUUUUGCCACCUCAUGAUGUCAUAGAAGAAGAGCAGCAUCAAUGUUAAGAGUCUGGAGGAGGGACUAGAUGCUGUGGCUCACACCUGUAAUCCCAGCACUUUGGGAGGCCGAGGCAGGUGGAUCACCUGAGGUCAGGAGUUCGAGACCAGCCUGGCCAACAUGGUGAAACUUUGUGUUUACUAAAAAAUACAAAAAAUUAGCCAGGCAUAGUGGCAUGCACCUGUAAUCCCAGCUACUCUGGAGGCUGAGGCAGGAGAAUCUCUUGAACCUAAAAUCUAAAAAAUAAGACCACGCCAAGGAAAAAAAUCAGUAACAGUAUAGAGGGGAUGGAAGCAGACCUCUUUAAUACACCUUGUUCUUCAGUUUUGACUUUGCCAUCAUGUAAAUGCUUUAUUUAGUUCUAAAUCAAAUUUAAAUUGAAAAAAAAAAAUUCCCAGGCCAGGGCGGCGGCUCAUGCCUGCGAUCCCAGCACUUUGGGAGGCUGAGGUGGGCAGGUCAACUAAGCCCAAGAAUUUGAGACCAGCCUGGGCAAUAUGACAAAACCCCAUCUCUACAAAAAAUACAAAAUUAGCCAGAUGUGGUGGUGCAGGUGCUUGGAGGCUGCUUGGGAGGCUGAGGUGGGAGGAUGACCUGGGCCUGAGAGGUGGAGUUUGCAGUGAGUCGAGAUUGCACCACUGCACUCCAGCCUGGGUGACAGAGUGAGGCCCUGUCUCAAAAAAGAAAAAAAAAAAAGUAUUUCCUAGUUGAUUUUUGUUCAACUUCAAUUAAUCAUAAUCUACCUUCUUUUUUUUGUUUUUGAGACAAGAGUCUCGCUCUGUUGCCCAGGAUGGAGUGCAAUGGUGUGAACUGCAACCUCUGUCUCCUGGGUUCAAGCAAUUCACCUGCCUCAGCCUCUUGAGUAGUUGGGAUUACAGGUGUCCACCACCACACCUGGCUAAAUUUUGUACUUUUAGUAGAGAUGGAGUUUCACCAUGUUGGUCAGGCUGGUCUCAAACUCCUGACCUCAUGAUCCACCCACUUCGGGCUCCCAAAAUGCUGGGAUUACAGGCGUGAGCCACCGUGCCCUGCCAAUCACAAUCUACCUUUAAGUGAUAAUAUGCUACCUUUUUUUUUUUUUUUUUAGACAGUCUCGCUCUGUCCCUCAGGCUGGAGUGCAGUGGCGCAAUCUUGGCUCACUGCAAGCUCUGCCUCCCGGGUUCACGCCAUUCUCCUGUCUCAGUCUCCCAAGUAGCUGGGACUACAGGUGCCUGCCACCAUGCCCGGCUAAUUUUUUGUAUUUUUAGUAGAGACAGGGUUUCACCGUGUUCGCCAGGAUGGUCUCUAUCUCCUGACCUUGUGAUCCGCCUGCCUCAGCCUCCCAAAGUGCUGGAAUUACAGGCAUGAGCCACCAUGCCCAGCCAAUAUACUACUUAAUAUAAAGCAUAAGAACAUUGGCCAGGUGCGGUGGCUUAUGCCUGUAAUCCCAGCACUUUGGGAGGCUGAGGAGGGUAGAUUGCUUGAGCCCACAAGUUUGAGACCAGUGACACCCCAUCUCUACAAAAAAAUGUAAAAAAUUAGCUGGGUAUGGUAGUACAUGCCUGUAGUCUCAGCUACUUGGGAUCGCUUGAGCCCAGGAAGUCAAGGCUGCAGUGAGCCAUGAUUGUGCCACUGCACUCCAACCUGGGCAACAGAGCAAGACCCUAUCCCCACUCCCCACCCUCCCAAAAAAAAGAACCUAAAAGUAGUGUAUUUCUGAUUCUCCACAUACACACUCCAUCUAUUUAAGAAACUACAAUAAAUACAAUGAGUUCAGGCUGGAUGCGGUGGCUCAUGACUGUAAUCCCAGCACCUUGGGAGGCAGAGGUUGGUGGAUCGCUCCACUGUACUCCAGCCUGGGUGACAGAGCGAGACUCUGUCUCAAAAUAAAUAAAUGAAUAAUAAAAUAAAAAGUAAAUGGUCUAGGCCUGGCCAACAUGGUGAAACCCUAUCUCUACAAAAAAUACAAUAUUUAGCCGGGUGUGGUGGUGUGCACCUGUAGUCCCAGCUACUGCGGAGGCUGAGGCAGGAGGAUCACUUGAGCCCAGGAAGUGAAGGCUGCAGUGAGCCACAAUUGCGCACCACUACACUCCAGCCUGGGUGACAGAGUGAGACCCUUUCUAAAAAAAAAAAAAAAAGGAAAGAAAAGAAAAUGUCCAAAUUUAAAGGCAGAGAUUGUCAGAUUGGAUUAAAAAAAGAUUCAGUAUCCUAUUUAUAAGAAACACACUUCAAAUAUAAAGACACAAAUAGGUUAAAAGUAGAAGGAUGGAAAAAGACAUACCUACCAUGCUAUCACAAAUCCAAAAAAAGCUAGCGUGGCUUAUCAAUAUCAGACCAAGUAGAUUGUAUAGCAGAAGACAUUACCAGGGAUAAAGAGGUUAAUUCAAUAAUGAUUAAGGGGUCAGUUAUUCCAGAGGACAUAACAAUUCUAAACGUUUAUGUACCUAAUAACAGAGCUUCAAAACACUUGAAGCAAAAACUUAUAGAACAGCAAAGAGAAAUGGAAAAGUUGACAAUCAUAGUUGAAGAUGUCAAUACCCUGCUUUCAAUAAUUGAUAGAAUUGAUAGAAUAGCUGGGUAUAGCCGUGUAUCACCUGUAGUCCCAGCUACUCAGGAGGCUGUGGCAGGAGAAGCACUUUAGCCCAGGACUUGAGUCUAGUCUGGACAACAUAGUGAGAUCCCACCUCUGAAUAAAUACAUAGAAAUUGAUAGAAUGAAUAGACAGAAAACCAGCAAAUAUAUAGAAGAUUUGAACAACAUUAUCAACCAACUCGAUCCAAUGGACAUUUAUAAAACACUUUACCCAACAACAGCAGAAUACACAUUCCUCUCAAGUUCACACAGAAUAUUUACCAACAUAGACAAUAUUCUGAGACAUUAAACAAGUCUCAGUACAUUUAAAGGGACUCAAGUCAUUCAAAGUAUGCUCUCUUACAAUGGAAUUAAAUUAGAAAUUGGUAACAGAAAGAGCUCUGAAAAUGCCCAAAUAACUUGAAAACGAAAUAACACACUUCUAAAUAAUCCACGGGUCAAAAAAGAAGUCAAAAGAGAAGUCAGAAAGUAUUUUGAACUGACUGAAAAGGAAAACCCAACAUAUCAAGUUGUGUGGUAUUAUUAGCUGUACGUUUCUUUGUAGAUGCUAUUUAUCAGGUUGAAGAAGUUCUCUAUUCUCAGUUUGCUGGGAAUUUUUUUUUUUGUUUUUUGUUUUUUGAAACUGAUUCUGGCUCUGUCACUCAGGCUGGAGUGCAGUGGCGUGAUCUCGGCUCACUGCAAGCUCUGCCUCCUGGGUUCACACCAUUCUCCUGCCUCAGCCUCCCGAAUAGCUGGGACUACAGGCGCCCGCCACCACGCCCGGCUAAUUUUUUGUAUUUUUAGUAGAGACGGGGUUUCACUGUGUUAGCCAGGAUUGUCUCGAUUUCCUGACCUCGUGAUCUGCCCGCCUCGGCCUCCCAAAGUGCUGGGAUUACAGGCAUGAGCCACCACGCCCGGCCAUUUUUUUUUUUUUUAAUUAUGAAUGGGUGUUGGAUUUUUGUCAAAAGCUUUUCUUGCAUCAAUUGAUAUGAUCCUAUGAUUUUCUUCUUUAUCCUGUUGGUAUGCUAAAUUGCAUUAAUUUUUUUGUGUUUUUGUUUUAUGAGACUGAGUCUCACUCUGUAGUCCAAGCUGAAGUGCAGUGGCAUGCAGUGGUCAGCUCACUGCGACCUCCGCCUCCGGGGCUCGGGCUUAAGCUAUUCUCGUGCCUCAGCCUCCCGAGAAGCUGGGACUACAGGCGCAUGUCACAUGCCACCAUGCCCAGCUAAUUGUUUGUAUUUUAGUAGAGAUGGGGUUUCACCAUGUUGCCCAGAGUGGUCUCGAACUCCUGAUCUCAGGCCAUCCACCUGCCUCGGCCUCCCAAAAUGCUGAGAUUACAGGUGUGAGCCACUGUGCCCUGCCUAAUUAAUUUUUGAAUAUUGAGUCAGCUUUGCACACUGCCAAUGCAAUCAAGAUGUAGUUAUUCUUAGGCUGGGCAUGGUGGCUCACACCUGUAAUCCCAGGACUUUGGGAGGCCGAGGAAGGUGGAUCACUGGAGGUCAGGAGUUCAAAACCAGCCUGGCCAACAUGGUGAAACCCCGUCUCUACUAAAAAUACAAAAAACUAAUCAGGCAUUGUGGCGUGUGUCUGCUACUCAGGAGGCUGAGGCAGAAGAAUGGCUUGAACCCGGGAGGCGGGAGGUUGCAGUGAGCCAAGAUCACGCCACUGCACUCCAGCCUGGGCAACAGAGCAAGACUCUGUCUCAAAAAAAAAAAAGUAGUAGUUAUUCUUUCUCUACCCCCUCUCCCUUCCCACUGACUGAGGCAGGCAAUGAUGAUGAAGCCUUAGGCAGAGGAGAUGGAAGGUGAUGUGCUCCGGAAUCACUGUAUGGGGGAAAACCCCCUCAUCAACCACAAACACUCACACUGGUCAGUCAUGUGAGUGAGAAACACAUGUCUUUUGGGUUAAGACGUUAAUAUUUGGGGAUUUAUAUUAGGGGAUUUAUUUAUUACAACAGCUAGCGUUUCCUUGCUGUUAACCUCAAAAAUCAUCAGUGUAUCUCGAAAGACACAUUCUUCUUCUUCUUCUCUUUUUAAUUGAGAUGGAGUCUCGCUCUGUUGCCCAAGCUGGAGUGCAGUGAUGCAAUCUUGGCUCACUGCAACCUCUGCUGGCCAGGUUCAAGCAAUUCUCCUGCCUCAGCGUCCAGAGUAGCUGGUAUUACAGGUGCCCAUCACCACGCCCAGCUAAUUUUUGUAUUUUUAGUAGAGACAGAGGUUCGCCAUGUUGGCCAGGCUGGUCUCGAACUCCUGACCUCAGGUGAUCCACCUGCCUUGGCCUCCCAAAGUGCUGGGAUGACAGGUUGGAGCCUCUGCGCCCAGCCCAAUUCUUGAGUAUUAAAUGCUUAACUGCCUUGUUAUACCUCCUGUACUAAGAACACUAAAAAUGUAGAGCAUUUUAGACAAGAAACCUAAUUAAAAAAAAAAAAAAAAAACCCAGUUCAAAAGCAUUUGGGAGUGAUUCAGAAAACCACAGCCCCGGAGCUAUAGUCUCUGAAGAUGCGGGGCCUGGACCUCUCUGCAUUCCCCCAUUGGUGUCUGCUGAAGACUAGCGUCUGCAGAAAUCCCAGUCUGUACACAGGCUGAGACUAUUCCUUUUCCCUACAUCCUGGUGAUGGGCACACACACACCUCAAGGGAGGCGUCGAUGCUCUCAGGCACUGAACUUGUUCCCGUGUCUUUAUGUUUCAUGAUCGUAUAUGAGAGAGGGAGCGUGGCCUGGAACUGUACACAAAAUGUGACCGAAAACAGCCUCUCGCUGUUUCCAAUUAAACAACCUGCUCGAGCCUUUGGUUUCUCUCCAUCACUUCCUGUCUCAAUCUCACUGACGUCUUCUUUUUUAGCAAAAUGCAUUUGUAUUUCAAGCAGAAGAUCAAUGGUUACAUUUUAAAACGCUAAAUAUCUUUUCUGCCAGGCCGAAUGGGGGUGUUUCUCCCAUCCUUCUCUGCACGUCUUCUCAUCUUAAAGCGAUGGAAUUGAGUUCUGUGAAAUCCGAUCUGGUGUUUAAGCUCUGAUUUAUAACAAAUUACCUAUGUGGCACUCAAGAAAGAACUUGUAUGUCAGAUAACACUGGAGUUUGAUUUCACCACCCUGCCCCCAAACCCGUUUAUUCAUUCAUGGCGGGGAGAGAUCCAGAGGGCCGGAGCAAUUUCAUCAACCCUGGAAUUCGCGCAUGGAGCCUCCUCUCCCCAGACCAUCCUGCUACCAUGAAUAGACAGCACGUGGCCGCCUUUUAUGAUAAGGUCAGAGGAAAGGAGUGCAUAGAGAGAGGCCGUUUGGAGAGUCGGAGCUGUAAGUUUCAGGUAUAAAACCUGAAUAGUACCAGUCCUCUUGCCUGGGGCCAGAUCAGACAGGAGGGAGGAGGUGGAAGGCAACUGUUCCACCUCCCGAGGUGAUUCCUUUGGACGCCUGAAUCCUUUGGAUUCCCUGGCUCCCAGCAGCGGACUCUGCCCUCAGCCAUCUUUAUCACUCCUGAUUAGGGCUGCAGACGCCUCCCUCCCCACCCUGCCUUGCCAGGCUUUGUGGCUCCCCGGGCUCGUUUUCUGAUAGAGCUGUCAGUUUUUACUACUGAUAGGAGAAAUCAUUUUCUUUCUUAGCUGAAUGUUAAUUGGCUCCCCUCCCCCAUUCACUUAGUAUAUCCCGUCCCCUAUUUUUUUUUUUUACCCCAAGGAAAAGGUACCUUAGUAGAGACACAUUUCGGAAAGACAAAGAAGGUGUUUCUUGCUAAAUUGCUAAUUGGUAACUGAAAUCAGAGGUUAAGAAAAAGCUAAAGAGGAGAGCGAGGAAGGAAUUAGGACCACAUGUUUCUGUAG